UGGGGGUAGGGGGGACUGGGGUCCGGGGUGCACCGGAAGCUGAGGCUUCGGACAGGGCUUGGCUCAGGGUGUUCCUCCCUCACCACUGGGCCUGUAGACCAAGCUGCCUGAGUGGGGCUGUGAGCAAAAGUCAGGCCUGCUUGCCGGACGCAGCCAGGCGCGGGAGGAGCCACGAGGCCUCCUACGGUCAGGGAGUCGGGCCAAGAACAGGGUUUUGGAGGGUGUCCCCUUAGGGUCCCCUGCCACUAGGGAAAGAGCACAGGGCGGUGCGUCAAGUUGGGGCUGGGCAGUGUCAGUCGGGCAGGGCUGGGAAGGGCGCGGGCACGGGCAUGGGCCAUGGGCACGGGCUGGGAUUGGGCCAAGGGGGCCGGGACUUGGGGCCAGGCAUGACCCCUGCCUUCCUGGGCCAAGAUACUCAGGUGCAUGGGUCAAGCCAGCAAAUCAAGUGGGUCUGGAGGAGAAGGCCAUAGGCCAAGGUCACAGCAUGGAGGCAGAGGUCAGCCCCAGGCCAGGGAGGCACAGAGUCUAGGGGGCUGGGGACAGUCAGGGCAGGGGCCAGCACGGUCAGGCCAGGAGGCGAAAGGUCAG
rnacentral:lncRNA from 1 species